GAAACAAUCCAGAUGGUGAUGGCCGUUCAUUUCUACACAUGAAAGGAACAUCUGAGCCAUUUCAAGUGGAGCUGAGGCCGAAUUAAAACCACUGAAGUUGAAGAAAUCACCAAGUGAUCUCACUAAGGCAUCUCUAGACUCAGCUGUCACAUCCGAAAGAGGCUGACAGCAUAUGAAGGCAGAAAGUAUCCUUUGAUGAGAAAAUGCAAAUCCCAAACAAAACAUUUGCAGAACCACUAAUCGCUAUUUCCAUUCAACUGAAGAACGAUACGGUAUUUGUUACAGAAUGACUCUAAGAAAUCAUACCAGGAGCUAAGACAGAGAAAGCUAAAGGUCUGGUUUGCUGAUGGAAGCCAAAGCAAGAUCAAACAUUCCCUGAAUGGUGGUAGAAGCAGGAGGAAUGUCACUUGCUGAUUUGAAUUUCAGAAAACACCUAAACCACAUUCUGAUCUUCAGCAGCUGCGGGACUGCCUGAUUAAAGCACCCCUCUGCGCUCUCCCAUGGCUGCUGACCUCGUCUGGGCAGGAUUGCUGCUGCUUCAGAGCAGCUGCGUGGAUCCUUCGUCUGCGUGCAGCGACAUUCAACAUAAAUGAAGAGCAGGCAGCUUGAUCUCUACCUGCAUUGCCCUGGUCACGAUGGUCUGCCACCCAGAUGAACUCCCAGCCACAAGGAAGGUGACAGUUCCAGCAUACAUGAUCAUCUUAUUGAGAACGUAUCAAAGUGGAAGACCCUGACCUAAAAAGGAUCUUGGAAUACUAGGGAACUUCAGGAAUCCCUCAGAAACUGAUAAAACAUGCUGCUCUUCAGAGAUGAGUAAUGAGAGACAAGUCACUGGUCGUUGGCAAAACUGGAGAAAGGCUAUUCUGGAAAAUAAUAUACGUAGUAUUAAAAUGUGAUAACAAAAUUAAUGUAAUUAACAAGAUUUUAUGAAAAGUAGGACAUUGCAAAAUCUAUUUCAUCAGAUUGCAGGGAUAUCUGAUUAAAGCAAAUGUCAUGUCUAACAUAAGCGUCUCACUUGCAUGUAUGUUCUAGUGAAGUGCUUAGUGGAGCCUGUGAGCACCUAUGUACAUAUAUGUAUCCUUUAUAUAAUAAAGAGAUGGAAUCCUUUGAAAGUCA